AACUACUUCGAAGACCAGUGAUUUAAAUGUUUAGUCAAGGACGAAAUUGUAAGAAGAAAUUCUUGUUAAUUAUCCUGUGACGUAUCUCGCAAAUACAUAAAGUGACCGAAUCUAACGUUUCAUCAUUAAAUUCUCUUCGGACUCAUAAGAGAAUAAAUCUAUUUAAAAAGUAACGAAGAUAGAACCGACCGGUCGGCGAGAUGUGAAUAUAUUUCCCAGGUGGAAGUCUUUAGUUUCACUUGAGUAAUUUCCGUCGCGAGGAAACUACUGAAAUAGUCUCAUCGGAUGUAAGUUCUCACCGGAUGUGAAACAACUCGAACGCGUUAUGAUGUACCAUGAAGCCGGGGCUCUGACGACAGCGUACGCACCCUACGACGCGAUAGCAUCUGAUGGAUCCUAAAUGACAUCGGUUAGGUUCGGCGUUAUCGUCAGCGACAUCGUCGAGGGCGUCUAUUUGUAUCGCAACGGACUCGACGUCCCACGCGAACUAGCGAGCCAGCUAAAAAAGACCGGCGUUAUGUCAUUAUCGGUGAACGAUGACGGAAAGCCAUGUGAGGCGUAGCCGCGUAUGAAGCGGGCGUUAAUGGACCGUGAGCGGAGUGUAGGACUGGCACGAUCGAGUAGCUCCGUUAAUAACGGCGAAGACGUUUUCGCGCGGAGAAGGGGUGGGACUUUAAAAAAAGCACGGACACCCCUCGCCGAGACACAUUCUUCCACGGCCGUUUCGUGAAUGAAUCAUCCACGUCCAUGCGUUGUCGUACGUCAGUUUUGACGCGCGGGCGUGAUUAUAAAGGAUUAUUCGCGGUUACUCAUCGUUAGGUCGGUGAUCAGUUAUCAGCGUCGACGUUGACGCUGUUCGUGUCAUCCGGUUGAUGAAAAAAGUUCGCAGCUACGGGUACCGCAGUGUGAAGUUACAAGGAAAGUAGCGAGUGCACUGUGAAGUUCGCGCGACGGCGUGCCACAACGGGUACGUAGCUGUCGAGAAGACGAGAGAGGAAGGGAGAGAGGGGGCGAGAAUCGGUUCUGAAAGCGGAGUUUCGAGCUAUCAGAGAAUUAGAUUCCCUGGGAACUUAUCGGCCAUCUCGGGCAACUUGCUAUCCUGGAGUUAAAGACGGAGAUAUCCGAGCAGGGGACUUGCCAGGACUACUCGUCCUUCGUUCGGACGCAUAAAGUCCCAGGAUGAAGGGGAUGCUUCUAGUAAUGAGCACGAUGGUUUGGUUUGUCGCGGCGGAAGUUUUCCUUGGCGACGUCGACGAGCCGAGCUACUAAACAUUGGUUUUGAUGGAAUAAGCGCAGGAAUCAUUAUCAUUGAUGGAAUAAAUGUUGGAAUCUGGAAUGUGGAAUUAAAAUUCGUCGGGUGUCGAGUCCAACAAUACGGCUUCGCCGGCAGUCGUUUCUCGUCGCCGGCGAUUCUGAGUCGACGUGACGGUUCGUCCAUGGCACGUGGAACGCGCGGAUCGUUGCAAUUACGGUACUAAUUAAUGCCGAAAGACAACCAGCCGCGGUAUCAGUCGUCCAUAAUAACGCUGUUGACAACAUCAUAAUCGUUAUUAAGCAUUUAUGGCUCGUGACGAGGCUGACGCGGCCGCGACGCGCACAGAAAUUAGGGUGGACGGGAUCGACGGACGCGACGGGGUUGGACCGUAGAAAAAAAGAAGAUCGUGGAGGGGGCCGCAUUAAUUUCAACGCGUCCCAUGGUAGCCAGGACGAUAUACGUGGACAGUAUGGUGAAUUUGGCUGUCAAUAGUUGUUUUGCGGCCGGCACAACCUCGGUUUCCGUGCUCUACGACAUCGGACGGGACCGCAGCCCGUUUAUUUAAUCGAUGCAUUAUGCAAAUUGACAUAACGGUUCCACUUCGGAUGCAGUAAUCGACCGCCAUCUCUUGACUGAUUCACAACGGGACAAUGUGUGUACGCUGAAUAAUUGGCAGUACCGUGUUGCGGCACCGAAAUCAAAGCUGCCACCGCACUUCCUUUCCGUAUCAUCGGAACGUCGAUUUCGUGAUAUACUAUUUCACGAUUUUCUUAUACUCAACUUGAAAUUGUUAAUCGUAAUGAGGAGCGUGAGUUUUCAUACUACUCUUUUCCUAAUUGCAAUUAUUUAUCAACUUCCCUUCCUUAUCUUAUUUUAUAGUUGUGCCGUUUUCAAGUUGCAGAUGUACGCGAAAUUUUCGUUAAGUUAUAACAUGAAUUAAGUGAUAGAUUGCAAAGGUAUAAUUAAUCCGAGUAACGAGGGUAAUGAGUGAAAUUUAGAGGAGUUGCGCGUGUAUUAAACAGUGUUCACCGACACGAAUAGCCGUUAGAGGCGGUUAAACGCAUACACUCGGUUUAAAUUUAAUUUUAAUUUAAUACUAAUUAGUGUAUUAUACAUCGAGAGGCUCCAAGUUCACUCUUUGAGAGUGCUUCAACACAAAUUGCACGAAAAUUGACACGUAAGAGAGCGAAUAAUUUCUCACUCGUCGAGUUCGCUUCGCGUCUUUCACGCUCUGGCACUGUUAUACGCAAAUUCGAUAGAAGUGGAAAUGAAACUUGAGCAUUCCCCAUGCACUCGCAAUUUCUACAAAAACGUUAUAUUGCAUAUUGUUUGUUGUCGAAACGAAUACGUUCCCUGAAAACGCGCAUAUAAAAUUAUUACAUGCAUUUUAAUUUCCACCACACGCGCAUCUGCCUAUGUUCGAUCUUACUAUGUUCGAUCUUAUUAAACGCGAAACAAGAGGUAGUCCACUAAAUUCUAUCAGAUUUCAUUUAUAAAUGAUUUGUUAUUUUUUCAAUUAGUAAUCUGAACCAUAGAACAAAGAUUGUCGCUCAUCAAAGUGAACUGGAAUAUAAUGUUUCUCAUCCAAUUGAGAAUAUUUUAACAAGAUUUAUUUUUUAAAUAAUUGCGGAGUAUAACGAGUUGGAAAAUUAUACUCGAUUUCAUUAAACCCAAUCGUUUUACUUCUAUAAAGAAAUCAUUUCAAUUGUCUACUUUUAAAUCCAUACAUUGACAGAAUUAGGAGUACUACUCCACGAAAGAUUGUAGUUCCACGCGAUGAUUCUUUCGCGGAAUAAUUUCGCGUUUCGUUGUAGCUGGAAUAGAAAGGCACGUAGCAUUCGUUUAUCGUAGUAGAAAAAUUAUGGCAGAAAUAUGUAACACGACGAGGCAGCGGAGCCAUCCGUUCAUCGCGUGUGUGUACGAGGCUUGAGGUCGGACUAGUUAAAUAGCAUUCCUGCUUGCCUUCCACCUGUGGACGGGAAAUUACAAUAAAUUCACUGAAUUACAGCGCCCUGAGAGGCUUCGUGAAUAACCCAUAAUCGCUCAAAAAUUCGAUGUUAAUGCAGUUCGAUCGCGCGACACAGCCGACAGUCAGGCUCGACGUACCUACGGACAUUUCGUGAUAUGUAUGUAUGUGUAUGUGUUAUACGGCCGUUUCUUCUCGCUGAAAACUGCUCGAAUAAUUUUCAACACGCGAGCCACGUAUACGCGGCUCAUUAGAAUAUUUCGUUAUAAAUUACGCGGUAACACUGCGCGGUUCUACUAUUAUUACGAUACGCGGCUAUUUUGUUCGACCCUCGUGCUUGAUGAAAGCAUCACCGUCAUUGUGAUUCAGAGAAUGAUCUACACGUAAAACAUUACAUUCGCCUAAAAUACACAUCUAAUAAUACGGAGAAAGUAAUACCGUUCUUCAGCGAACAACAGUUUUUUCUUAUUUUUCGUUCUUCGUUUUCAUAAUCUGGACGUGUAAUAUAAUUUUGUGGAAAACGAAUAGAAGAGAGUUUGAAAUUUGUAAUAAGAGAUUUUGUUUAAUGCAUAGAUUAUUACGCUUUUAAUGGAGAAAUGUUAAUUAGCAUAAUUUUUUUUUACGUAGUUCCUUUGACAAAAAUAUAUUUUUCUGAAUAAAAUAUACCACCAAUGAAAGUCGCCUAUAAACACUGACUUUCUAAACGGUGCGGUGGUGCAAAAAAAUUUAACAAAAGAAUUAUUUUUUUUUACUAUUGUUUCCAGUUCUAUUAUUCUUAUUCAUCCGCUUUUUUAUUUCCUGUCAUUCUUGCUUUUACUUCAUCAUCUUCGAUAUUCCUAAGGUCCUUACGAGGCAUUUAUACAUUAAUUACAUAGUACAUAAUUAAACGAUAAUUUUAAUGAAUAAAUUUAAAUAGGUAAUACGUUCCUUGGCUGUACAUUCUAAUCUAUUUUGCCGGUGACACCCUCUCUGCAGUUUUGUUACGUAGCGUCAUACAUUUGAAAAAAGCCUGCAUUUUUUGUGCAGCAUCGCGUGAUUUUUCGAUGUAUCACGAGACACGGAUGUACGAAUCGCGAAAUUCCGGGGGACGUACAAAUGGUGUCAUCGAUCGCUGUUACGUGAUUUAUGACGUUCGUUUUCGUGUGAUCAUUUUGUAUCGCGUUUUUUACCCAUCUUUCUUCGGAUUUCUCGCGAUCGAUAAACACAGUCUGCGGUAUUCCCAGUACGAAAUUUUUUUUAACCAGAAACCAAAAGCUUUGCGUAGUAUGCAGUUAAAACGAAAUCCAUACUGUGUCAUACGAGUACUUAUCAUCUGAGCGCAUUAUAAAUACAAUAAAAUGUUUCUAUUCAUA